CAAAUAUUGGUGCAUAAAGGUAAAUUACGAAUUUCUAAUCCAUGUCUGUUCUAUUGUCAUAAUGAAUCAAGACUUUUUUUUUAGUACAUAUUAAGGCCUAGAUUAAUAUAUUGUUUGUUUCCCCAAUCCCGACCCUGCCGAGCCAGGUGUGGGUAGGUAGGUAGGUAGGGAAAUAAUUUUAUUUUUCCAAAAAGCUUGAACAUUAUCGGACGAUCCAGCAAGCCUGAAACCAGAAAUGAAUAAAAUAAUAUUUGACUUGGUUUUGACAAUAAAAUUUUAUGAGUAGCACCAUUUUUGCAGGGUCGGUCAGGAUUGGGGAAACAAACAAUAUUUUAUUUU
rnacentral:lncRNA from 1 species